GGCGGUUCUCAGGUGACGCACCCCGGAAUUUGGCUCCCUCUUCUCUGGUUCUAGGUGCAUCACCUGAGAAUCACA
rfam:Myotis lucifugus cont2.2028, whole genome shotgun sequence.